UACAGAGGGUGCGAGCGUUAAUCGGAAUUACUGGGCGUAAAGCGUGCGUAGACGGCUAUCUAAGUCGGGUGUGAAAGCCCCGGGCUCAACCUGGGAAUUGCAUUCGAGACUGAAUAGCUAGGGUACGGUAGAGGGAAGUGGAAUUUCCGGUGUAGCGGUGAAAUUCGUAGAUAUUCGCAAGAACACCAGUGGCGAAGGCGGACUCACUGGCCCGGAACUGACGCUGAGGUGCGAAAGCGUGGGGAGCAAACAGGG
rnacentral:rRNA from 1 species